rnacentral:rRNA from 1 species
GAUGAACGCUGGCGGCGUGCCUAAUACAUGCAAGUCGAGCGAACGGACGAGAAGCUUGCUUCUCUGAUGUUAGCGGCGGACGGGUGAGUAACACGUGGAUAACCUACCUAUAAGACUGGGAUAACUUCGGGAAACCGGAGCUAAUACCGGAUAAUAUUUUGAACCGCAUGGUUCAAAAGUGAAAGACGGUCUUGCUGUCACUUAUAGAUGGAUCCGCGCUGCAUUAGCUAGUUGGUAAGGUAACGGCUUACCAAGGCAACGACGCAUAGCCGACCUGAGAGGGUGAUCGGCCACACUGGAACUGAGACACGGUCCAGACUCCUACGGGAGGCAGCAGUAGGGAAUCUUCCGCAAUGGGCGAAAGCCUGACGGAGCAACGCCGCGUGAGUGAUGAAGGUCUUCGGAUCGUAAAACUCUGUUAUUAGGGAAGAACAUAUGUGUAAGUAACUGUGCACAUCUUGACGGUACCUAAUCAGAAAGCCACGGCUAACUACGUGCCAGCAGCCGCGGUAAUACGUAGGUGGCAAGCGUUAUCCGGAAUUAUUGGGCGUAAAGCGCGCGUAGGCGGUUUUUUAAGUCUGAUGUGAAAGCCCACGGCUCGACCGUGGAGGGUCAUUGGAAACUGGAAAACUUGAGUGCAGAAGAGGAAAGUGGAAUUCCAUGUGUAGCGGUGAAAUGCGCAGAGAUAUGGAGGAACACCAGUGGCGAAGGCGACUUUCUGGUCUGUAACUGACGCUGAUGUGCGAAAGCGUGGGGAUCAAACAGGAUUAGAUACCCUGGUAGUCCACGCCGUAAACGAUGAGUGCUAAGUGUUAGGGGGUUUCCGCCCCUUAGUGCUGCAGCUAACGCAUUAAGCACUCCGCCUGGGGAGUACGACCGCAAGGUUGAAACUCAAAGGAAUUGACGGGGACCCGCACAAGCGGUGGAGCAUGUGGUUUAAUUCGAAGCAACGCGAAGAACCUUACCAAAUCUUGACAUCCUUUGACAACUCUAGAGAUAGAGCCUUCCCCUUCGGGGGACAAAGUGACAGGUGGUGCAUGGUUGUCGUCAGCUCGUGUCGUGAGAUGUUGGGUUAAGUCCCGCAACGAGCGCAACCCUUAAGCUUAGUUGCCAUCAUUAAGUUGGGCACUCUAAGUUGACUGCCGGUGACAAACCGGAGGAAGGUGGGGAUGACGUCAAAUCAUCAUGCCCCUUAUGAUUUGGGCUACACACGUGCUACAAUGGACAAUACAAAGGGCAGCGAAACCGCGAGGUCAAGCAAAUCCCAUAAAGUUGUUCUCAGUUCGGAUUGUAGUCUGCAACUCGACUACAUGAAGCUGGAAUCGCUAGUAAUCGUAGAUCAGCAUGCUACGGUGAAUACGUUCCCGGGUCU